UAUAAAUUCAUCCCACGUAUUGGAUUACUUUGAUCAAAAUUAUAUUAUAAUUACAACGCUUAUGUCUGAUUGUUAGUAUUCGGUUGGGUCGUCUAACUAACUAGUGUAGCAGCUGGUCGACGCUUCCAAUCAAUCAGUUUGUAAUCAAGGAAGGUUCAAAAGAUCAUAUUGCAGUUUGACAUAGUACAUAUGUGUAUUGAGAACCAUCUUUAGGAAUAGUUAUUUAUUUAUAGUACCUAACUACUUUGAAUUUAUAAAAUCCGUUUUUGAAGUCACAUAACUACGGGCGUAAAAAAAGCAGAUUGACGUGUUUAGUACGUUUUAAAACAAAUAUGUACUCGUAGUAAUUAAUACAAAAUGUUAUUCCUUCCUGUCGGAGAAUAAUAAAGAUUUGGACAGGUUUUCA